GCCCCGAUGGGGCGGGGCUCCCGGAGAUUGGGGGCCCAAGAGCUCGGCCAGGAUAAAUGAGCGGGCUGCCGGCUGCAGACAGGGUCCCUGACCUCCAGGCAAGGUCCAAGAGGAGCUCUCUCCACCCUCUUGCCAGUUUCCAGGAAGAAGAACAGAGCCCAGCCCACCUGGGCAUCUAUCUUCCUGUAGAAAAGAGGCAGGCAGAGCUGAGGGGCCUUCCCAAGGAAGCCCCCAUCACCGCCUCAGAUGAAGUGGUCCCUGCUGAAUGCUUUGCUGGGGUCUACGAGGCAAUUCAAGAUGAGAAAUGGAACGGUGGCUUCGGAAAAGCAAAUCAUUCCAACAGCACCUGAAAACAUCGAAGGAAACAAGCUCUUUUUGUGUGUGUGGAAAUGGGGAAUAUAUUGUUUCUCACUGUUUCGAAGACUGUUUUCCCAUCUUGAAAUCACAAGCUGUUUUCUUCCAGAGAGACUUAUAAAUACAUCCAAUUAUCGACAUUCAAUAUAAGAAAUAAAGUUCUGAAAUGGUUUUCUUCAGCA